rnacentral:rRNA from 1 species
UACGGAGGGUGCAAGCGUUAAUCGGAAUUACUGGGCGUAAAGCGUGCGUAGGCGGUUCGUUAAGUCUGUUGUGAAAGCCCCGGGCUCAACCUGGGAAUGGCAAUGGAUACUGGCGAGCUAGAGUGUGUCAGAGGAUGGUGGAAUUCCCAGUGUAGCGGUGAAAUGCGUAGAGAUCGGGAGGAACAUCAGUGGCGAAGGCGGCCAUCUGGGACAACACUGACGCUGAGGCGCGAAAGCGUGGGGAGCAAACAGG